rnacentral:rRNA from 1 species
GAAAGCGAGUCUUAAUAGGGCGAUUUAGUACAAUGCUGUAGACCCGAAACCGAGUGAUCUAGCCAUGAGCAGGUUGAAGUUGGGGUAAUACCCAAUGGAGGACCGAACCAGGGUACUAUGUAACGUGCUUGGAUGACUUGUGGCUAGCGGUGAAAUUCCAAUCGAACUCGGAUAUAGCUGGUUCUCCCCGAAAUAGGUUUAGGCCUAGCCUUGAAUUAUUUCAUCCUGGAGGUAGAGCACUGAAUGUGGAAUGGCCGCGUCUAGCGGUACUGACUGCAAUCAACCUCCGAAUGCCAGGAAUUGUAGAUUCAGGAGUCAGUGUAUGAGGUGAUAACGUCCAUACGCGAGAGGAAAACAAUCCAGACCAUCAACUAAGGUCCCUAAAUAUAUGUUAAGUGGGAAAGGAUGUGGAGACGCACGAACAGCUAGGAGGUUGGCUUAGAAGCAGCCAUCCUUUAAAGAGUGCGUAAUAGCUCACUAGUCGAGUGGCUCUGCGCAGAACAUGUACCGGGGCUUAAGCAUAACACCGAAACUGUGGAUGUUAGUUUUUAAUUAACAUGGUAGGGGAGCGUUCUAAGGGCGUUGAAGAUAGAUCGUGAGGACUAUUGGAGCGCUUAGAAGUGAGAAUGCCGGCGUGAGUAACGUAAGGAAGGUGAGAAUCCUUCCCACUGAUUGACUAAGGGUUCCUGGGUCAAGUUCGUCUUCCCAGGGUAAGUCAGGACCUAAGGCGAGGCCGAAAGGCGUAGUCGAUGGACAACAGGUUUAUAUUCCUGUACCACCUACAAGACUGAUGGAGUGACAAAGAAGGCUAAGCAAAGCCAAUUAUUGGAUUUUGGUCUAAGCACAAAGGCGUGUUGAGUAAGCAAAUCUAUCAACUAUAACGCUGAAGUGUGAUGGGGAAAAAGUUCUACGGAACUUCAACUUUGCUGAAGCCAUGCUUUCAAGAAAAACUUCUAGGGCUAAUCUUGUAGGUGCCUGUACUCAGAACCGACACUGGUAGUCAAGGAGAGAAUCCUAAGGUGAGCGAGAUAACUAUGGUUAAGGAACUCGGCAAAAUGACCCCGUAACUUCGGAAUAAGGGGAGGUGUAGCGAUACACCCUCAGGAAAUAGGUCCAGGCAACUGUUUACCAAAAACACAGGUCUCUGCUAAAGCGUAAGCUGAUGUAUAGGGGCUGACGCCUGCCCGGUGCUGGAAGGUUAAGGGGAACACUUAGCGCAAGCGAAGGUGUGAACUUAAGCCCCAGUAAACGGCGGCCGUAACUAUAACGGUCCUAAGGUAGCGAAAUUCCUUGUCAGGUAAGUUCUGACCCGCACGAAAGGCGUAAUGAUCUGGAUACUGUCUCAACCAUAGACUCGGUGAAAUCUUAAUACCUGUGAAAAUGCAGGUUACCCGCUACAGGACAAAAAGACCCCGUGGAGCUUUACUGCAACUUGAUAUUGGAAUCAGAUGUAUCAUGUAGAGGAUAGGUGGGAGACUUUGAAGUUAGGACGUCAGUUCUAAUGGAGUCAUCCUUGGAAUACCACCCUUGAUAUGUUUGAUUUCUAACUUGCGCCCAUUAUCUGGGUGGAGGACAGUGUCUGGUGGGCAGUUUGACUGGGGCGGUCGCCUCCCAAAGAGUAACGGAGGCGCCCAAAGGUUCCCUCAGAAUGGUUGGAAAUCAUUCGUAGAGUGUAAUGGCAGAAGGGAGCUUAACUGCGAGACCUACAAGUCAAGCAGAUGCGAAAGCAGGGCAUAGUGAUCUUGCGAUCCCGAAUGGAAGGGUCGUUGCUUAACGGAUAAAAGUUACCCCGGGGAUAACAGGCUGAUCCCACCCAAUAG